rnacentral:lncRNA from 1 species
AUCAAACAUUCCAGUUUCGAGUUUCUAGAAACACAAGUGCAUAAAUGUAUUAUUACAUGCCAGAUGGCCAAUUCAUAGAACCAAAAAUAAGGACCAGUAGCUGUUGGUUGCCAUCUCGACAUGCCUUCUCCGAAUCUUCUACUCAUCUCAGUGCUCUAGCAAGAACUCUACAAAAUGCAAUAAACAUCAGGUUAGCUAAAGUACAUGUUGAACUUCACAAGUUGACAUGAACAAAGAAUAUGGAUGUUACAUUCAUCAUCGGAAGAAGAAUUUUCAUCAUCUAGCUCAACCACUUCUGCCUUUCUCGUAUUACCUACAACAACUACAACAACACGUUAGCUAUAAACUCUAAAGUACAUAGCAUGAAGAAAUAAACAAAGUAAGUUAAACUAUAUACCAUCUUUCUUCUCCAAUUUGCAGAGAUACCAAUCUUGCAAACACAUCAAGGCCUCAACCGUCUUUGGUUUAAGUGAGGCUCGGCUCGGGGUUAUAACCUUCUUACUCAAGCUGAAAGCAGAUUCUGAUGCAACACUUGACACGGGAACAGCAAGGAUAUCACGUGCCAAUCUUGCUAGCUGCGGAUACCUAGCUGCAGACUUGCUCCAGUAAUCCAAGAUAUGAAUGUUCUCAUUCAACCUCUUGGUAGGUUCAGCCAAGUACAAUUCCAAUUCAGAUUUCUCUUCAACUGUGCUCGUGUUUUCCACAUACUGAUCAUAGUCAGAAAAGGCACCAAGUCCACAAGUGCUUGACAUACUAGUUUUGGGUAAGUUGUCAUGAACAAGUACAACACUACCAUAUUCAUUAAAUAAAGAAGUCAAUGUACUUCUAACAUCAGCAAGACGACGCUUGGUAUCAUUCUCUUCAUACAGCUUGGAGUAGGAAUAAGCCAAGAACUUGAACUUGAUACGGGGAUCAAGAACAGCAGCACAAGAUAGAAAUACGCUAUAGUCAGACCAAUAUUUCAUGAACUUUUCUCUCAUAGCAAACAGCAUUGGACCCAUGUAGCUAUUUAUACCAGCGGUAGCCUCAAUAAUAGCAGUAUGGACUAGAUAAACAUUCAUGAAGUACAAGUUGGCUGUUGGAUAUUUUGUUCCUGAGAAAACAGUAGUUACCUUGAAGAAAACCUCAAAAAACUGAUAAAUAUGAGAUACCUUGGACCAUUCUUCCUCACUUGGCCAAAAAUGCACCUUGAAGAUGCUAUCCCUCUCAGAAUACCACUGCAACACUUUUUUAAGUACAAAAAGGAGCCAAGCAUAGUAUAUGUUGAAUUCCAACGAAUGGGCAUGUCAGGUUUCAACUUCUUUGAUUCUUCUAAGUUGAAAGUAGUUGUAGCAGUGCUAUAAAACUUGUGCAGCCUAUCACUUGAAGCCUUUAGAUACAUUAUACCAUCUCUAAGUUUGGCUACAGCACCAUCAAUCAAUGUCAAACCAGAUUGAACUACCAAAUUCAGUAUGUGUGCACAACACGAAUUUGAAAGAAUUUGCCGGACAAAGGUAAAGCACCUUGAGACAAGUGGGUUCGCAAGCAAACAAUCAUUCUAUCAUUAUAGGUUGCAUUAUCAAGAGUGAUGCACAUUACUUUCUUCUCAAUCUUCCAUUCACGAAAAGCUAGAUGGACCUCAUCGGCAAUAGAUGCUCCAUCAUAUGGUGGAUCAAUUUUUUUGAACCAGACAAUUCUUUUGUUUAGUUUCCAAUCAGCAUCUAUGUAAUGACAGGUAAUGCAAAUACAGCUAUGCUUGGUGACUUCAGAUUUCCAAUUGUCAGAUGUGAAACUUACUCUACCAGGGGCAGCAACAAUAAUUUCAAGCAAUUCUUUUUUCUGGGAAAGAAACAUUCCCAUUAUCUCUCUUUUUAUUGUGUGCCGACCAAUACUCUUGAAUGUUGGACAACAAGCAGUCAUCAUUGUUCUAAAACCAUCUUCUUCAACUAUUGUAAAUGGAUGAGAACCGGACACAAGAUAAAUAGACUCCAUGUCUGGCUACUUGAGCAUCAUAUUUAACAUUUCUCAAUGCAUUUGUUCCAUCAUCAUUUGUUUCAGAUUUCAAGAAAAAAGUAUUCAUUGUUGAUUGAUCAGUCUUAUGCAACGAUUCGGUGUGCCUAAGGAGAUGAGAUGUACCGUGUCCAGAUUUAACUGACAGCUCAGCGGAGCAAUGGUUGCACUUAGCUACAGCAUCACCAUCUUUGUAUAUCUUGGUGAAGUCCAACCAUACUUUUGACUUCAGUGUUCUACUGCUAGAGGAGGCAGUGUGCUGCUGUUGUGCUUUGGUUGUAGGCUGCUGCUGUGCUUCGGCUGUAGGCUGCUGUUGUGGUGCCGAUUGUCCACUUCCUGAACGUGCACUAGAUGUUGGCCUCUUCCCCUUUUACUUGCAACUUUCUGCCGUACACGAGGAAGAUUUGGAGGUACAAUAAACAGCUCCAUCUCACCCUCAUGCCCUUCUAAUUCUUCAGGAUGAUAAUCUGCUUCAUCACCCUCAUGCCCCUCCAUGCUAAAUCUAUAUCAACAGCAAGAAAUAUAUAUGUCAACAGCAAGAAAUAUAUAUGUCAACAACAGCAAGAAAUCUAUAUCAACACACACGUAUAGCCAUUGUUUCAUCAAUCAUCUAUACACACUUGUAUUCAUGUACAACAGCGAGUUCAUCUACAGUUCUACACACACUUAUAUUCAUGUACAGCAGCAACAAAUCUGCAUCAAAUCCAUCAUGUUGACAUGUAUGUACACCUGCUAAUCGGUUAAGAACGGAAAAAAAUCCGCAUCAAAUUACCUUAAGAGCAGAGGUGCGGCGGCGCUCG